rnacentral:rRNA from 1 species
UUACCUUAGGGUUUCCUCUGGGGUAAGUGAUUGCUUCUACACUGUGAAAAUUUGGCUGAGAGACUCAGACUGGUCAUGGGUAGACCUAUCUGGGGUUUGAUCGAUGCCACUCCUGGUUUCAGGAGCACCCUUCAUAAUAAACCUAGAAAUUCAGUAUUAUAAAGUUUAAUAAAAAACAACUUUUAACAAUGGAUCUCUUGGUUCUCGCAUCGAUGAAGAACGUAGCAAAGUGCGAUAACUAGUGUGAAUUGCAUAUUCAGUGAAUCAUCGAGUCUUUGAACGCAGCUUGCACUCUAUGGUUUUUCUAUAGAGUACGCCUGCUUCAGUAUCAUCACAAACCCACACAUAACAUUUGUUUAUGUGGUAAUGGGUCGCAUCGCUGUUUUAUUACAGUGAGCACCUAAAAUGUGUGUGAUUUUCUGUCUGGCUUGCUAGGCAGGAAUAUUACGCUGGUCUCAGGAUCUUUUUCUUUGGUUCGCCCAGGAAGUAAAGUACAAGAGUAUAAUCCAGCAAUUUCAAACUAUGAU